rnacentral:rRNA from 1 species
AUCUAGUGGCGAACGGGUGAGUAACACGUGGGUAACCUGCCCAUCAGAGGGGGAUAACAUUCGGAAACGGAUGCUAAAACCGCAUAGGUCCUUUAACCGCAUGGUUGAAGGAGGAAAAGAGGCGCAAGCUUCUGCUGAUGGAUGGACCCGCGGUGCAUUAGCUAGUUGGUGAGGUAACGGCUCACCAAGGCCGUGAUGCAUAGCCGACCUGAGAGGGUGAUCGGCCACAUUGGGACUGAGACACGGCCCAAACUCCUACGGGAGGCAGCAGUAGGGAAUCUUCCGCAAUGGACGCAAGUCUGACGGAGCAACGCCGCGUGAGUGAAGAAGGUUUUCGGAUCGUAAAACUCUGUUGUUAGAGAAGAACAAGUGCUAGAGUAACUGUUAGCGCCUUGACGGUAUCUAACCAGAAAGCCACGGCUAACUACGUGCCAGCAGCCGCGGUAAUACGUAGGUGGCAAGCGUUGUCCGGAUUUAUUGGGCGUAAAGCGAGCGCAGGCGGUUCCUUAAGUCUGAUGUGAAAGCCCCCGGCUCAACCGGGGAGGGUCAUUGGAAACUGGGGAACUUGAGUGCAGAAGAGGAGAGUGGAAUUCCAUGUGUAGCGGUGAAAUGCGUAGAUAUAUGGAGGAACACCAGUGGCGAAGGCGACUCUCUGGUCUGUA